rnacentral:lncRNA from 1 species
UCAGGUAUGUCUUUAUGGCAGUGUGAGAACAGACUAAUACAGAUAUCUGUUCAUAUUUUUGUAGCUCUUUUUCUGUAAAGCUUUCUUCUCUUCAGAACUCUAGCACAAAACUUCCAACCACCUCAGCUUUAUUGAACUCCAGUAUCAAAAACUCAUCAAGACCACUGCAUACUUAUCAUGAUCUCCUUCCCUGUGUUGUAGUCUAGAAUGUUUUUCAAGAAAGACAGGACACUCAUAGGAAUCAUCUUUUUUGUUUCUCUUCUCUCAGGUAUUACAUUUAUGCACUGUCUGCUGCCAAAGAUCUGAAACCAAUGAUCUCAUAUAUAUGGUACAGUUUUCUAGUUAUUUACAGUGGGAGAGUAAAUUAUCCAUGCUCAGAAGUAGUGUGUACUAGUCUCAGUAAGUCAAUGGGUUUCCCUGGAUCCAGGCUUGGAGAAAAUGUUUUCUCUUCUCUAUCUGCAAUUCUCCUGAACCAAUUCUGACGGAUAAUAUGACUGUGUCAACCACAAAAGAGGAAAAGAAUGGGCUUUAAAUCCCGCCUUUACAGCCAUCCAAGGCAGCUCCUUCUUCAAAGGAUGGAACUUUAAGGAUGGAACCAAUUGGCUACAAAUCAUUUUAGCUGAUGCACUGAGACAAUUCUGAAGCAAACUGUCUUAUCCUGGAUUUUGUCAGUAACUGGAGUUGAAGGACUUGAAGAUUCUCAAGGAUUGAUCCAGAAUAUGUUCCAGCAAAAACUACAGCAGAGUAACUUUGACAAGAAAAAUGUUCACUUGCUACCUAAGGAGAGUCUCUGUCUCCUGACCUCUGAAUUUCGAAAUCCUCAGCUCUGGCUGCCACGCAGUGGGAACCGAAUGAGUAUGUACUGAAUGGCGAAUCCUAGUUCAGUCACUUGACUAGCUGGGUGACCUUGAGCAAGUAACUUAGCUUCUUGAAGCCUCAGUCUCCUUAUCUAUAAAAUGGGACUCAAAGGCUGAGUCGAGUAUUAAAUGAAAUAAUACACGUAAAGCACAGUGCCAAAAAUCUGGUAAUAACUCCAUCAGUAUAAGGCCACCUUAUUUGCCUUCUUUCACAAUUAUCACCAGAAUUGAAUUAAAAUUCAGAUGUGAUCAUGUCUUGAAAUGUAGAAAGAGUUAUGAAAAUGUAAGACUUACUAAGUUCACUUAUCGAACAUUUUUUGACCACCUACUAUGUGCUAUGCCUUGGACUAGGCUAGAGAUACAACAGUAAACAUCUUGACUAACGGAGAUUAUGCUGCUAUCUUGAAAUUUUGCCUGUUCCCAAAAGCCCCCAGCAUAUUAAUUUUGUUAAAUAUAUAUUCCCUUAUUAUAUAUAUAAAACAUAUAUAUCCUCAUUUUAUAUAUAUAUAUAUACAUAUAAAUAUGUGUCAACUACUGUGUUGAGAGCUCAUUA